rnacentral:rRNA from 1 species
GACGAACGCUGGCGGCGUGCCUAACACAUGCAAGUCGAACGAUCAAGCGCCUUCCUUUCUGGUCGGUGUGGAUGAGCGGCCAACGGGUUAGUAACACGUUAGUAACCUUCCCCCUCCUUCUGGAUAACCGCAUGCAAGUGCUGCUAAUACGUGAUAUUCUGGGUCUGUCGCUUGAUGGGUCUGGGAAGGUUUUUGUUUCGGUGGUGGAUGGGUCCGCGCCGGAUUAGCUGGUUGGUGGGGUGAUGGCUUACCAAGGCGGCGAUGAGUAGCCGACCUGAGAGGGGGGUGGACGAUCACACAACGACGAAGCGGCGGCCAAGACUACGAGAGGCAGCAGCAGGGAGGAUUCUGGCACGAGGGACGGAAGGAUGAUGCAGCGACGCGGGAGGGAGGAUGGUGGCCGUCGGGUUGUACACCUCUAUCGGCAGUGAAGAAGGGCUGAAUCGUUUGUGGGUGGGUUGACGGUAGCUGGAUAAGAAGCGCCGGCUAACUACGUG